rnacentral:rRNA from 1 species
GUGCCAGCAGCCGCGGUAAUACGUAGGAUGCAAGCGUUGUCCGGAAUUAUUGGGCGUAAAGCGAACGUAGGCGGCCUUUUAAGUUUGGUCUUAAAGACCAGGGCUCAACCCUGGGAAUGGACUGAAUACUGGGAGGCUAGAGGACGUCAGAGGAAAGUGGAAUUCCAAGUGUAGCGGUGAAAUGCGUAGAUAUUUGGAGGAACACCAGUGGCGAAAGCGACUUUCUGGGACGUUACUGACGCUGAGGUUCGAAAGCUCGGGGAGCAAACAGGAUUAGAUACCCUGGUAGUCC